UAAUAAUGCAAGUCGAGCGGACUGGAGAGAGCUUGCUCUCAAAGGUCAGCGGCGGACGGGUGAGUAACACGUGGGUAACCUGCCUGGCAGACUGGGAUAACGCUUGGAAACGAGUGCUAAUACCAGAUAGUCUUUUGAACUGCAUGGUUCGAAAGGGAAAGAAGCGAUCGCUUCACUGUCAGAUGGACCCGCGGCGCAUUAGCUAGUUGGUGAGGUAACGGCUCACCAAGGCAACGAUGCAUAGCCGACCUGAGAGGGUGAUCGGACACACUGGGACUGAG
rnacentral:rRNA from 1 species